rnacentral:rRNA from 1 species
UCGUCAGCUCGUGUGUGAAAAUGUUGGGUUAAGUCCCCCAACGAGCCCAACCCUUAUCUUUUGUGGCCAGCAAUAUGGUUGGGGUCUCAAAGGAGACUGCCAGUGACAAGCUGGGGGAAGGUGGGGAUGACGUCAAGUCAUCAUGCCCCUUACGAGUAGGGCACACACGUGCACAAUCUGCAUACAGAGGGAGGCGAAGUGACGACAUGGAGCGAAUCUCAGAAAGUGCAUCGUAGUCCGGAUUGGAGUCUGCAACUCGACUCCAUGAAUUCGGAAUCGCUAGUAAUCGCGAAUCAGAAUGUCGCGGUGAAUACGUUCCCGGGCCUAGUACACACCGCGUCGUCACACCAUGGGAGUGGGUUGUACCAGAAGUAGAUAGUUUCAUUGAAAGGAGGCCGUUUUCCACGGUAUGAUUCAUGACUGGGGUGAAGUCGUAACAAGGUAGCCGUA